rnacentral:rRNA from 1 species
UACGUAGGGGGCAAGCGUUGUCCGGAUUUAUUGGGCGUAAAGAGCGUGUAGGCGGCUUUACAGGUCCGUUGUGAAAACUCGAGGCUCAACCUCGAGACGCCGGUGGAAACCGUAAAGCUAGAGUCCGGAAGAGGAGAGUGGAAUUCCUGGUGUAGCGGUGAAAUGCGCAGAUAUCAGGAGGAACACCGGUGGCGAAGGCGGAUCUCUGGGCCAUUACUGACGCUGAGGAGCGAAAGCGUGGGGAGCGAACAGG